rnacentral:lncRNA from 1 species
GCUUUGGGCUCCACACUGAUUUAACAGGGAGGAUGAAAACAAAAGCACCUCACAGAGAAAUGCAAAAGCAAAACACCAGGGUUUCUUUUAUGACUCCAAAGGGUCUGCUUUUCAAGAGUCCACAGGACAAAAAGUAUCAAUCAUAAUCUAUUUCAUCUAGACAGGUGGCAAAUCAGUAUUAUAAAGCAUUUAAAAGACUUUAAGCCUAUUAGAUCAGCUCUGGAAUACUAAAUAAAAAUAUCCUUAAGAAGCUGAAAGACUUGAAAAAUAUGAAAUAAAAAAAAUAUACAUGUAGAUAGGAAAAAAAAAACAACCUGAGUCUUAGCAUUUAAAGUUUCUGAAACAUUUAUAAAAAGUAUAAUAAAAAGUAUUACUACAUUAGAAUAGUGAAAUAGCCAUAGGAAAUAAUUUUAAGUGUUGGUUGUCCACUAAAUGACUGUG